AACGAACGCUGGCGGCAUGCCUAACACAUGCAAGUCGAACGAGACCUUCGGGUCUAGUGGCGCACGGGUGCGUAACGCGUGGGAACCUGCCCUUAGGUUCGGAAUAACUCCCCGAAAGGGGUGCUAAUACCGGAUAAUGUCUUCGGACCAAAGAUUUAUCGCCUUUGGAUGGGCCCGCGUUGGAUUAGCUAGUUGGUAGGGUAAAAGCCUACCAAGGCGACGAUCCAUAGCUGGUCUGAGAGGAUGAUCAGCCACACUGGGACUGAGACACGGCCCAGAAUCCUACGGGAGGCAGCAGUGGGGAAUAUUGGACAAUGGGCGAAAGCCUGAUCCAGCAAUGCCGCGUGAGUGAUGAAGGCCUUAGGGUUGUAAAGCUCUUUUACCCGGGAUGAUAAUGACAGUACCGGGAGAAUAAGCACCGGCUAACUCCGUG
rnacentral:rRNA from 1 species